GUAAAUAUAAUAAAUGCUAAAUUAGUAAUAGUUAUGUUCUUGAAAAUUAAAAAAUUUGGCGGUAUUUUAGUCUUUUCAGAGGAACCUGUCCUGUAAUUGAUAAUCCACGAUAUAGGAUACUUUAUUUAUUAAUUUACAUAUCGUCGUAGUUAGAAUAUUUUAAGAGAAUUUUAAUAUUCUAAAUUUUUUAUUAAAAAGAAAAUCAGAUCAAGGUGUAGUUUAUAAUAAAGUAGAGAUGGGUUACAUUAAAAUUUAUUUAAGGAUUAUUUUUAGGAUAAAAAUUUGAAUAUGGAUUUGAAAGUAAUUUUAUUUAGUUAAUUAAAAUGAUUUUAGCUCUAAAAUAUGUACACAUCGCCCGUCGCUCUUAA
rnacentral:rRNA from 1 species